UCUUCUCUUCUCUUUUCUUUCCUUCUCUUUCCUUCUCUUCUCUUUCUUUCUCUUUUCUUGUUUUCUGUCCUCAUGCACACUAGCAUGGGCCUGCAUGCCUAUUUUACUCAAUGACUACAAUGUAUUAUUAUCAUAGUUAUAAUCCACUGUUAUCACAACCCACUAAUGUCCUUGUUUAUUUGAAUAGAUUGUCUAUGAUUUGAUUGGUGGGUACCUUUCUGAGCUACUUUUUUUUUUGGGGGGGGGGUGAUUCUGUACCACUUUUUAAAAGCUUCGAGUCUUUAGGGUGACACUCUCCUGGGUUGAGUAGAUUCUUCACAGAGUCUGAGGACCUACGCUACCAGCUCCUUGGCUUCCUUCAUUCCUAGUUGUAUCUCCUUGAGGGAGUGGUCCUUCUGCUGCAGGCUUAAAAUAGAGAAACGUCUAGAAUCGUUGCAUGCACCGAUGUUUCACGGUGGCUUGGUCCGUUGAGGAGGUUUGGACCAUCGAUGUACUUAUCCUGUUGGUGGCCUGAGUUUAUUUCCAUCCAGUGAGCAUGUUCUUCAUCCAGUGGCUCCUUCAUGUCCUGGUGUCUGGGGCAGUGAAUGGCUGGAAUACUUUCUGCUGAAUUGCCUGGAAUGUGUAGAGCAAAACACAGGCAAGUCAUUUCCUGGGAGGGUGAAUCCCAAGUCCCCCAGGGGUCUGGAGUGAUAUCUACUUUAUCUUUCCUCCCUUGCAAAGCCUCAUUCGCAGCUGGCUCUGCGCCUGACAAACAGAGAAAGGAAAGUGUGGGAAGGCACAGGACUCCUGGUCAAGGGAGUUGUGCAGAGGCAAGAAUUCAGUCAGGAAUGUUCCCUGUGGCUUUCCAGGUGCAGGUGGCAGGUAGAGGGAAGAAGGACUCUCAAAAUCAACCUCUGCAAUCUGACUUUCCCCAUCCUUGGUUUUCAAGCCUUAAAGGGAUUUAUGGCUACAGUGCCUGGCCUGGUGUCUCCUGCGGUCGCCCUCCUCUUCACUCUCCCACAGCUUGAACCUUGGCUCCCUUUGCUCUCAGUGCUUAGUUUUGCCUCCCUACUGACCUUACCUGCUCACUGUCCUUCAUGUGCAAGCUUCCCCCGGAACCUGACCAACCCAAGAACUAAAAGGUAGACUUGAAAUUAAUGACGAUCGAACUGAAGUCAUCAAAAGGGAACAUGAUGUGACUCUUACUGAUGAAGAAAAGACAAACAACGUAUUUCCUUAGAAAAUGAUCCCCGGUGAGCUGUUCCUAGAGUCCUAUGGUGAUUAUUGAAAACACUGUAGAAAAAAAAAAUUAGAAGCAAACAAUUCACAUGCAGCUACAUUCAGGAACAAUAUUUCUAAAAACAAGCAAACAAACAAAACCCAUGAAAAUGUUAAAAAUAAAAAUCUGGGCAUGUCAGCCCUCAGGAGGCAGAGGCAGGUAGA
rnacentral:lncRNA from 1 species